rnacentral:misc_RNA from 1 species
GAUGAAGAACGUAGCGAAAUGCGAUAAGUAAUGUGAAUUGCAGAAUUCAGUGAAUCAUCGAAUCUUUGAACGCACAUUGCGCCCGCCAGUAUUCUGGCGGGCAUGCCUGUUCGAGCGUCAUUUCAACCAUCAAGCCCCCGGGCUUGUGUUGGGGACCUGCGGCUGCCGCAGGCCCUGAAAAGCAGUGGCGGGCUCGCUGUCACACCGAGCGUAGUAGAUUUUAUCUCGCUCAGGGCGUGCUGCGGGUUCCGGCCGUUAAACCACCUUCAUAACCCAAGGUUGACCUCGGAUCAGGUAGGAAGACCCGCUGAACUUAAGCAUAUCAAUAAGCAGGA